rnacentral:rRNA from 1 species
UUCCUACGGGAGGCAGCAGUGGGGAAUAUUGCACAAUGGGCGGAAGCCUGAUGCAGCAACGCCGCGUGCGGGAUGACGGCCUUCGGGUUGUAAACCGCUUUCGCCUGUGACGAAGCGUGAGUGACGGUAAUGGGUAAAGAAGCCCCGGCUAACUACGUGCCAGCAGCCGCGGUGAUACGUAGGGUGCGAGCGUUGUCCGGAUUUAUUGGGCGUAAAGGGCUCGUAGGUGGUUGAUCGCGUCGGAAGUGUAAUCUUGGGGCUUAACCCUGAGCGUGCUUUCGAUACGGGUUGACUUGAGGAAGGUAGGGGAGAAUGGAAUUCCUGGUGGAGCGGUGGAAUGCGCAGAUAUCAGGAGGAACACCAGUGGCGAAGGCGGUUCUCUGGGCCUUUCCUGACGCUGAGAGC